GUGACUUCUCAUUUCUGUUAGAGGGUCCAAUUCUUAGUACUUUUAAGGACUUUAGAGAGCAAUUUGUGAGGGAAGUGGGGAGAAGAUAACUAACACAAUUUCGCCCAUGCCUUUGUUUUGAAAAUUGUUUUCAGUUAUAUAUAUAAAGUUAUCUGAAGAUUGCUCUUCCUCCAUCAGCUGCCAGCAGCUUCAAGAAGCCACAGCACAGAAAGGCAAAGGAGAAGUACAGUGGGAUCCCAGCCACAAAGAUCUACCUUCCCACAGAAGCCAGAGAGAUACAGCAAUCUUUAAACACGAUUUGCACAAGAUUCUACAGCUUAAGACAACAUCAGGAAUAAGAAAUGGGACCUCCUGAUUCGCAGUCUCAUGGUCCAGUUCAUAGGUCAUAGGGUGAGGAUUAGCUGCCCAGGGGGACUAAACACUGGACUGUUCCCCUAUGAAAAAUCCAGCAGAGAUGCCAGGUGCUAUGGACUGAAGCACAGCAUGGCCUAGCAAAGAACUGUGCUGGUUAUAGUGCAGCAAGGCAAGCUGCCUCUCCCCGGUGACAGGAUGAUCCCAGAGAGCCCAGCUCUACCACGGGCACGCAGCCCAUCCUCAUUUCUCUCUCCCUCCUGACACCCUCCAGCAGACUCUGGGGGCUUUUGUUUCCCUGUGCCUCCGGUGAUGCUCAGUCUCCUCCCUGCCUCCUGCAGCUCCAAGCCUGCACUGCAGCCAGACUGCAUGCUUCAUUCCACAGGAGCAGCUGUGACACAAAUCAAACAAGGAGACACAGAAGAUUUCACAAGAAAGACCAAAAAACAGAAAAGAGGAAUCAUUUCCAGAAGUGGUUAGUUUUAAUGCCAAAAUGAAGUGUGGAGCCUGUUUUGGCAGCAGAACCUUGGAAAGUGAGACAUUCUCAGAAGUUGCCCUGCAAAUUUAGCCUCUAUGCCAAGCUUUACCUUGUUUCUUCCAGGUGUGUUGAAGAAAUUUGUUCCUCUGUCUCUUUGCCUGACAGCUGCAUCACUAACUGGAAAUAAGAUAUGGGAUCUCAAUUGCCAUUGGCACCUCACUUAUUGAACACUUACUUUAUUUCCUGCAACUAGUACAUUACACUUGGCAUUCAAAAUGUGGAGAAAACAGGUCCAAUUAAAGAAAACAACACUCAAACUGAUUCCAUUAAAACCCUCAAAAUAUAAAAGAAUAUUUUAGCCACAUAGCAAGAAGGAAUAAAUCAUCACCCUCUUAACAGAACCAUAAUUUUGUCUGCCUCCACUCACACCAUCUGUACUAAUGAAAUAUUUUAGACAAAACCA